UGGGGAAUUUUGCACAAUGGGUGAAACCCUGAUGCAGCGACGCCGCGUGAUUUAGAAGGCCUUCGGGUUGUAAAAAUCUUUUCUAUGGGAAGAAAAUGACAGUACCAUAGGAAUAAGGACCGGCUAAUUACGUGCCAGCAGCCGCGGUAAUACGUAAGGUCCGAGCGUUGUCCGGAAUCAUUGGGCGUAAAGGGUACGUAGGCGGGUAAGCAAGUUAGAAGUGAAAUCCUAUAGCUCAACUAUAGUAAGCUUUUAAAACUGCUCAUCUUGAGGUAUGGAAGGGAAAGUGGAAUUCCUAGUGUAGCGGUGAAAUGCGCAGAUAUUAGGAGGAGUACCGGUGGCGAAGGCGACUUUCUGGCCAUAACCUGACGCUGAGGUACGAAAGCGUGGGUAGCAAACAGG
rnacentral:rRNA from 1 species